rnacentral:rRNA from 1 species
AGUGAACGCUGGCGGUAGGCCUAACACAUGCAAGUCGAACGGCAGCACAGUAAGAGCUUGCUCUUACGGGUGGCGAGUGGCGGACGGGUGAGGAAUACAUCGGAAUCUACUUUUUCGUGGGGGAUAACGUAGGGAAACUUACGCUAAUACCGCAUACGACCUACGGGUGAAAGCAGGGGAUCUUCGGACCUUGCGCGAUUGAAUGAGCCGAUGUCGGAUUAGCUAGUUGGCGGGGUAAAGGCCCACCAAGGCCACGAUCCGUAGCUGGCCUGAGAGGAUGGUCAGACACCCUGGAACUGAGACACGGUCCAGACUCCUACGGGAGGCAGCAGUGGGGAAUAUUGGACGAUGGGCGAGAGCCUGAUCCAGCCAUACCGCGUGGGUGAAGAAGGCCUUCGGGUUGUAAAGCCCUUUUGUUGGGAAAGAAAAGCAGCAGGUUAAUACCCCGCUGUUCUGACGGUACCCAAAGAAUAAGCACCGGCUAACUUCGUG